AUGGAGUGCCAGAAACUAUUGUUAGUGACAAUGGGUCACAAUUUAAAGCAAAUACCUUCAAUUCAUGGCUAACUUCAUUAGGAAUUAAACACGUUUAUACUGCUCUCUAUUCGCCGCAAUCCAAUGCGUCAGAAAGAGUUAAUCGUUCGUUAAUUGCAGCGAUGCGAGCAUACCUCAACGAAGAUCAGCGAGAUUGGGAUCAGCAUAUAGACGCGAUUAGUUGUGCGCUUAGAAAUUCGGUACAUCAGAGUACACAGUUUUCUCCUUAUCAUUCGUUGUUCGGAUUAGAUAUGGUUACUCAUGGCUCUCAAUAUGACCUAUUACGUCGUCUUAAUCUACUAGAUGAACCUAUUUGUAAGCUGCAUAAAGAUGAUCAGCUAAAAUUAAUUCGAAAAGAGAUAAAACAGAACCUAAGACAUGCUUAUGAACAAAAUGCAAAACAAUAUAAUUUAAGAACUCGAGAAAUACAUUUUAAAAUUGGACAAGAAGUAUUUAGAAGAAGUUUUGCACAGAGCAAUUUUCAAAAGAACUUUAAUGCGAAACUUAGCCCAGCUUGGAUAAAGUCUAGAAUACGGGAAAAGUUAGGCAAUGCAUUUUACGUGCUUGAAGACCUACAAGGAUGCUUAGUUGGCACUUACCAUGCUAAAGAUAUACGUCAAUAACUGUUCUUUUUUCAGUCUAAUUCUUCUCAUUAAGAAUGGCCGAAUUAUCCAGGGUGUAGUGAACAGUGGCAUAUGCACAUCGGCAAAUGUUCAUUAUUAUUAUACAAGUAGCAAUUCAAAAUUUAACAGUGGUACUAGCGAAGCUUCAAACCACUUUGGUAAAGGCAUCAAGGUCUUGUUAACACUGAUAUGCAUUUGACACAAAGCUCUGUUAAGCUUGUCAGACAGCUGUCAAUAGUUGAAACAUAGGCUACGAAUUUAAUUACUUCCUGCACUCGACCUCUUUCUGUUCUGACCGCUGGCACGAUCAGUUGUGCUUUAUUUAGCUGCAAUAAAUUUUGUUUAAAUUAUUAAAAGUGAAACACGUGUAUAUUUUCGUGUGCAAAUCGUGCUAUUGAGAAGCCAUCCUCAAGGAGGCUUUAUUAAAACCUUGUAAGAUCACCAUUUCACAGCGUUUAUCUGUUCCAUUUUGGAUUAUUUUUUGCUUCAAAGAAUAUUGUUGUAUGGCGACAUGAGCUAUUGUCUUGGUCGGCUCAUCCACAAUUAAACGUUGGAUUCAUCCCGUCAGAUAAUCAGGCGAAGCUGGAAUUUGAAUGCAGAAAUUAGCGACAAGGCAGAAUUUCAAUAGGCAGCAAACGUAGCAGCAGCAGCGGCGGAGAGAACUCGACUUUUACAAAGACUCCAGUACCCUCCAAAAACCAGGAGAAAGAGCCACAUAUACUCGUAUAUGUGUACUAACGUUAACGAAUUUGGUUUCUUUAAAAUUCAGGCAGAAAUAUCAAUAUUACGAAUUUUUGCAUGCUUAACCUAAAAGCAGAGACCCUGUGCUUACAAAUUGCAUGUACAGCGCAAGUACAAAGUCCAACUUUAUUGGCAUAAUUUUAUCUAAGCAUCAGCUAUUAAUAGCAAUUGUUUAAAGUAACUGUAUUUUGGUUUGUGCAAAAGCAAAAGUUUUUCUUUAUCAAAAGUUCAAAAGUAAGAGAGCCUCUUACAUAGGCAUAUAAUUAAUUCAUACAUACAUAUAUAUUAGAGCAGGCAUUUGCAACUCAAUAAGUGCUGAGUUUGGAAAUAUUAAUAUCUUAAUUUUUUUUUGUUUUUUUUUUAUUGGAGAUCGAAAGUGUUGAAAUAGUACUGCUUGUAUAAAUUAAUUUUGAUCCCAUACUAACAUACACAGCAACAUCUGGAAACCAUGGAGGCCUUCAUCGGAUUUUUCAGAGGGUGAGUCAAACUUGCAUAUCUAUUUCUUGCUUAUUUUCGAUCAUCAAGUGUACAGGUUAAUAAGUAAAUUUCAAAUAUAUAAAAGUACGGCUUUUAAAGUUUGGGGUCAAUGCCCUUGAAAGCUUUUCGUCAACGAUUAAACAUAUGAUGCCCAGCAUCACAGCUUUUAGUUUCAAAGUUUGUUUUGAUUUUUAUUGCUAAUUGCUGAUACAGUUCGGUAUAACUGUUUUACUAGCGACUGAUAAUAAUAUUUUUAUUUUUGCUCUCGAUGCACUUAUGCUUAUUACUAGAUAUAUUUAUGCAUGAAUUAUGGCUUUUUCUUUAAACCGGUAUACUCUGAUAUCAUUUUUCAUUGUUUUGAGGAAACAAACUUAUAUCGCAACUAUGAAUUACUCUUGCUUAUGCAGAAUAACUUUGGUUUAUCAACUCUUAUGUGCUAUUGAUGAAUAUUAACCUUUAAUUUUAGUUUGAUUAUGGUUUUCUUUUAUUUACGUUAUGAUUACUUGAAUUUUAUAAAUGGAAAAGAAUGAAGUUUAUUUGGAAUUUAGUAUUUUUCAUUAUAUAUUGAAUAAAAUAACUAUGACUUUGUGAAUUUAAAUAUAUUUUUCCUAAUGUAAAGGGAUAAGGCAGGCGAAGUAGCCUCUUCUUGGGAUUUUUCUUAAAAUAACGCACAAUGGAAAAAUCAUUGGUAGGGUGGGUAGAGAGCGUAGCAACCACACCAUCUGGUUAGCUUUGAAGAAGGUAUUGCUGUUUCUUAAUACAUUUUCCGAUUCUUUUCAUUGUCUUUCUUUUUUCUUUCUUUCACUGUUAGCCUAUUGCAAGUGCCGCCCCAACUAUCUUUUUU